GAGUCUACAAGGUAACCGUAAGUCGUACAAGGUAACCGUAAGUCGUAACAAGGUAACUGUUUGAUCCUGGCUCAGGGGAAGUCCUAACAAAGUAACCUGUACCCACGACUCUGGGAUACCUGUAAGUAAACCCAAGCUAAUACCUGUAUAUGACACCUCGCACGCAUGUGCAGGGUGUGGAAAGUUUUUCGGUCUGGGAUGGGCUCGCGGCCUAUCAGCUUGUUGGUGAGGUAGUGGCUCACCAAGGCGACGACGGGUAGCCGGCCUGAGAGGGCGACCGGCCACACUGGGACUGAGACACGGCCCAGACUCCUACGGGAGGCAGCAGUGGGGAAUAUUGCACAAUGGGCGAAAGCCUGAUGCAGCGACGCCGCGUGAGGGAUGACGGCCUUCGGGUUGUAAACCUCUUUCAGCAGGGAAGAAGCGAAAGUGACGGUACCUGCAGAAGAAGCACCGGCUAACUACGUGCCAGCAGCCGCGGUAAUACGUAGGGUGCGAGCGUUGUCCGGAAUUAUUGGGCGUAAAGAGCUUGUAGGUGGUUUGUCGCGUCUGCUGUGAAAAUCCGGGGCUCAACCCCGGACUUGCAGUGGGUACGGGCAGACUAGAGUGUGGUAGGGGAGACUGGAAUUCCUGGUGUAGCGGUGGAAUGCGCAGAUAUCAGGAGGAACACCGAUGGCGAAGGCAGGUCUCUGGGCCAUUACUGACACUGAGAAGCGAAAGCAUGGGGAGCGAACAGGAUUAGAUACCCUGGUAGUCCAUGCCGUAAACGUUGGGAACUAGGUGU
rnacentral:rRNA from 1 species